ensembl:lncRNA
CUUGACUUCCGCUGGCUCCAGGAGCUAUAAAUACCGAUGCCUUCCGUCGCUGGGGUCCUUUCGGGAGAGACUCUCGUCCUGCGUUCCUGUUUCCAGGUCAGUGGGACCAACUCCCUGCUUCGUGGGCGUUUCAUCUGCUAUGGGAUCCGGUCAGUCUGCCUUUUCUGUGGGAACCGUACUAUUUAGAAUGAUUCCGAAUUCUCGGCGUUCGUGCCAACUACAACUCGCAAAAAAUGGCGUGGGGUGGGUCGGAGAGGCCUCGCGCGCCUCCGUUCUUGGCCGUAGCUAAUAAGGAGUGCUGGCGACGGAACUCGAGGGCCUGUAGGACUGCCGUCCUCCACGCCGAAAAGCUUAAGUGCGCGGCGCCCUUAUUUCCUAAUGCGCCAUUAUGCCGCCUCCUGGAGUGUCAGCGUCUUCAACUAGAGUUGCAGAUAGGGCAUUUUGUUUGAUUCACUAAUUUAGAAGCGGCUUAGCUGCCACUUAUUUUUUCUUUGGGGGUAAUGUUUAAUUUUGUAUAAUUUUGUAUGAUAGACUUAUUGGUCCUUAAUUGCUUGCAUUUGCUACUUAAAAAGUAUUUAGGCCAACGUGGAUAACCCGGGAGGUCACUCUCCCCGGGCUCUGUCCAGGUGGCGUACGGGAGCAUAGGGCUCUGCCCGGUGAUGUACAGUCCCUUUCCACAACGUUGGAGAUAAAGCCGGGCCUUGAGUCUGCGCCUGCAUAUUCCUACGUCUUCUCAGAGUCCUCUGGACAAUGACUGGGGAGAAAAACCAUGCAGGAAACAGCUCUGUAGAGCAAUCUGUCUGGAUCUUUGUUUUAACCUGUUUUGCUGUGCAGAGUUGGGUUAAGGUUUUCCUUCUUUUGCAGCAUUUCGUUUGGGAUUCCGAAUACAACUGGAUUUGAGGAGAGAAGAGGAGCCUUACCAGCUUUGCAGUUAGCAAUGCUUUGGAGUCUUUCUUUGACAGGGAAAUUAGUAAAGUAAAAAUUCUCCAGGCAAAACUACUGGAGUGGAACCCAUUUCUUUAUCCAUGGGAAUCUUCUUGACCCAGGGAUUGAACCUAGAUCCUACUGCAUUGCAGUCUUUGCCAGCAUCAAGGUUUUUUUCCAUCUGGCUACUGUAUUGGAGCUUCAGCAGCAGUCUUUCAAAUGAAUAUUCAGAGUUGAUAACCUGUAACAUUGACUGGUUUGAUCUUGCUGGCCAAGGGACUCUCUCAUCUGCAGGACCACAGUUUGAAGGCAUCAACCUUUUUUAUGGUUUACGUGAAUACUGGAAAAACUGGCUUUGACAACGUGGACCUCGAUAAAAGCUUGAG